AGUGAAAAAAAACGAAGAAUUUCGUAGCGUUUGGUGUCGUUCUACCAAAAAACUCCCGACUAAUGGUCGAUAAUGAAAAGUGUGUGUCUGUGUGUGCGUGUGUAAGGAUUUACGAAACGUCCAACGUGGCCUGGGAGGAGGAAGCAACAGGUACAGUUUCAUCCGCCCCAGGGCUAUGAUGAUCCGCGCCAAAUGAUGAUAAGGCAAAUUAGAGCUUGACCCGGGUGGGAGAAGAUCCCAGGCUGUACUUUCCGAGAAGCAUCUGGGUUGAUGAUACGUUUUGCAUAAGCUGUAAUCAAUUUGAAGAAGUCUGUAUGCGAAGUUUCGAGGCUUGAGAAUGCAUUCCAGCUCGCUGUGAACAGAUGUUUGGAGGAACUACAGGUGAAGAUCAUCAUGGGCCACGGGGACAGAGCGAGAGGUUUUGCUCGAUACGAGAUUUGGUGUUUCCCCUCCCCCUCCUGCGAUUCCACCCUUGCACCGGGCGGGUUGGUGCAUCCCGAAGGUUAAGGAUGGCUGCGACCGCUGGGUGGUAAGUGCGUAGGCAGUGAGCUGUCGUUGGACUGCGAUCAAGAAAAAAUCAAGCUGCCUGGUGCAAACGUCCCCAUGCUCUAAUGGACAGCAAGAGAUCGCAACUACCCGAUCCGUAGUGCCGCCCGGGCGGAUGGAAGUUUUCGUUAAUAGAUUUCUGGAAAUGGCCGAAGGCGGUUUGAAGCAACAACAGCGCAACAGUCCAAAAUCAAUCGUCGCGAGAUGAUCGGAAAACAUCGAACCUAUUAUUGCGCGGCUGUUGUUUCAAAAUCAGUGUGUAUGUCCGUGUGUGGAGCGCUGGUUUUUUAUAGACUCUUUGCUGUCGCUUUUGCCCCCGUCAGGUCUUUGAACUCGCAACCGGAUAGGUCCCGGGAGGGAGGUGGCGGGAUGUAGUACGGGAAGGUGCAACAUAAAACAUAUUUACGACCUUGCUCGAUAUCUUCCUCCUUCUGCCGGUCUCGUUCUUGGAUUUGGUAGUCUCCCUUCUGCCGAGCGUCAUAAAACAGUGUCCCAUCAUCUUGAUAUCGUCUCACAGUAAACGGUGACGAUGACGACGACGAUCAAGAGUGAUUUUUGACAAUUUUCACCGGAUGCUUGGUAAAAAACAGUUUAACCCGUCAAUGCAGACGAUGAUGAACUGUGGCGUGUCGUAUUUGAUAAUACAGCAUGUUGAGAAGGGCAGCUUUGUAGCCUCUGGUAAGUGUUGACUGAAAGUAAUCGAUCCAUUUCAAUCCUUCUAUGAUCAGGGUAAACAAAAUAAGUUUAA